UACGUAGGGUGCGAGCGUUAAUCGGAAUUACUGGGCGUAAAGUGUGCGCAGGCGGCCGAGCAAGUCGAGUGUGAAAGCCCCGAGCUUAACUUGGGAACUGCGCUCGAAACUACUUGGCUAGAGUGUGGCAGAGGGAGGUGGAAUUCCACGUGUAGCGGUGAAAUGCGUAGAGAUGUGGAGGAACACCAGUGGCGAAGGCGACUCUUUGGUCUGUAACUGACGCUGAGGCGCGAAAGCGUGGGGAGCAAACAGG
rnacentral:rRNA from 1 species